rnacentral:lncRNA from 1 species
CAAAGUGCUUGCACCCAGAUGCAUAGAGGCUUGCGUGAGCCAGUCAGAGGGAAGGGGUCAGUGACGGAGGCGGAUCGGGCUGUUUUUGUUCUUGAUUGGACUCCAGUUUUCACCUUUGAAAAUUUUACAAGACAGGAAAGCUGUGAUUUAUCCCCAAAGAUGAUCUCCCAUGAAAGAAAUCAUAAAUUACCGCGCAGAUGCCCCUGACAACAGUCUCUAACUGAAACCAGAAGGAAUGUUACAACAGUGGCCGGUGUGUGCUACAGCACCAUAUGACACCACAGAUGUGUAUCUAACAACAAGCCUGCCUUACAGGGCUAAAAGAUGGUCACUGUCUCCGAUGUUUGCAGAUUCACCUGGCUUCCCCUUUGCUCAACUCAGACUACAGGAAACACAUCCCCGUGGGAGAGGGAAACGUGCCUGUGAGAGGCCCACUCGUGGGCGGCAGAGUGGUUUUAUACACAGACUGGCAUUAUCUGCGUCUCCUACUUCACUGAAAGGACAGGGCCACUAAAUAUACGCUGUGAGGCCUUCCCAGGCUCCUCUGGGCUGGGGAGAUGCGGCCACUGCUUGGGCCGAAGGCCAAUGACAUGGUUGCCGACCUCCACGGAAAGUAUUUUUAAGGUCAAUUACAGGGUACAGUGCCUUUAGAUGGCCGACUGGUGCUGAGGAGGCCUCAUAUUAAAGGUUUAUGUGGAGAAGGACCAGAGAAGUCUGUCUUAGCUCACCCCAGCUCCCAUUGUUACCACACACCCACUAAGACAGUGCACUCUGAGGGAUUCAUGGGGUGAUGCAUGCAGUGUGUGUGUGUGUGUGUGUGUACUGAAAGAGAGACCAACAAAGGGAUUAAAAAAAGGUCAUUUGAUGAUGGACUGUUGUUAUGAAGUUUAACGUUAAUUCGUAAGCUUAUUGUGAGUUGUUCGACUUUUAUCCUGGUAUGUGCUGUGAGCAAAGUUUAUGUACAGUUCAAGUCAUUGUAUCCAAAAUGCAUCAAAGUUAUAAAAACUGUAUGUGAAC